GACGAACGCUGGCGGCGUGCUUAACACAUGCAAGUCGAACGGAAAGGCCCUGCUUUUGUGGGGUGCGCGAGUGGCGAACGGGUGAGUAACACGUGAGUUACCUGCCCUUGACUUUGGGAUAACUUCAGGAAACUGGGGCUAAUACCGGAUAGGAGCUCCUGCUGCAUGGUGGGGGUUGGUAAGUUUCGGCGGUUGGGGGGGGACGCGCGGCUUAUCAGCUUGUUGGUGGGGUAGUGGCUUACCAGGGCUUUGCCGGGUAGCCGGCCUGAGAGGGUGACCGGCCACAUUGGGACUGAGAUACGGCCCAGACUCCUACGGGAGGCAGCAGUGGGGAAUAUUGCACAAUGGGCGGAAGCCUGAUGCAGCAACGCCGCGUGCGGGAUGACGGCCUUCGGGUUGUAAACCGCUUUCGCCUGUGACGAAGCGUGAGUGACGGUAAUGGGUAAAGAAGCACCGGCUAACUACGUG
rnacentral:rRNA from 1 species